rnacentral:lncRNA from 1 species
GGACGGUAACGCUCUGACUCUUUAAACUCCCUGGACGGUAACGCUCUGACUCUUUAAACUCCCUGGACGGUAACGCUCUGACUCUUUAAACUCCCCUGACGGUAACGCUCUGACUCUUUAAACUCCCUGGACGGUAACGCUCUGACUCUUUAAACUCCCUGGACGGUAACGAUCUGAUGAAGCAGAUUUACAGCUCAGAGUUUCGUUUUGCAGAUAACCAGUUCCGCAUGUCGAUCCUGGAGCGGCUGGAGCAGAUGGAGCGGAGGAUGGCACAGAUGUCGUCGUCCAGAGAAAACCAGCAGCAGCAGCAUCACCACCACCAGGGGAGCAGCUGAGGACGAGCCCGGCCCCGCCCCUCCGCUGCCCGACCAGCCCCGGUGAGAGCGGAGGGCGGAGUCGAGUUGAUUUUAUCUUAAACAUCGUGUCAUGAUUAUUUAAUGAGGUGAAAGUGUAAAUAUGUCUCUAACAUUUUGACUCUGGUUGUUUUCCAGUGGUUCGAGCGACGCAUCGUGGGCCUGUGUCAGCGCAUGAUCAGCGGCGCCUGCUGGAGGUCGAGCCUCGCUACUGCAGCCGAGGGAGAGGCGGAGGAGGGGGGAGGAGGCGGAGGAGGAGGCGAGGAGGAGGCGGAGGUGGAGGUGAUGCUGACAGGCUCCACAGAUCAGCCCGACACCGAGGAUGACGCUGCUGCAUUUAGCCGCCGCUCAGGGCUACACCCACCUCAUCCACACGCUGCAGCACUGGAGGUCUUUGAACAGGGACAGUCUGGACCUGGAGCAGGAGGUGGACCCUCUCAAUGUGGAUCACUUCUCCUGCACUCCUCUGAUGUGGGCGUGUGCGCUGGUCACGUGUCCUCGGCCGAGCUCCUUUACUCCUGGAACAGCGCGGCUCUGGGAUCCCCGACUCCCUGGGGAGGCUCCCUCUGGCGGUGGCUCGGUCCAGGGGUCACACGCGGCUCGCCACGGCCCUGGAGCACCUGCACACGGCGGGCAGGGGCGGAGGGCGGGGCCAGGGACAGGAGUCUGAGCAGAUGA